rnacentral:rRNA from 1 species
UACGGAGGGGGCUAGCGUUGUUCGGAAUUACUGGGCGUAAAGCGCACGUAGGCGGCUUUGCAAGUCAGAGGUGAAAGCCCGGGGCUCAACCCCGGAAUUGCCUUUGAGACUGCAUCGCUAGAAUUGUGGAGAGGUAAGUGGAAUUCCGAGUGUAGAGGUGAAAUGCGUAGAUAUCAGGAGGAACACCUGUGGCGAAAGCGGCUCACUGGACCAUAACUGACGCUGAUGCACGAAAGCUAGGGGAGCAAACAGG